GUUUCUGUAGUGUAGGGGUUAUCACGUUCGCCUCACACGCGAAAGGUCCCCGGUUCGAAACCGGGCAGAAGCA
rnacentral:tRNA from 1 species